ACGAACGCUGGCGGCGUGCCUAAAACAUGCAAGUCGAACGGAAAGUAGCAAUACUCAGUGGCGAACGGCGGAAGUAAUACAUAAGCAACGUGCCCUGAAGACUGGGAUAGCGGUCCGAAAGGACCAGUAAUACCGGAUGUGGCCCACUUAGGACAUCUUAGGUGGAUUAAAUGGUUUUUUCGCUUCAGGAGCGGCUUAUGACCUAUCAGCUUGUUGGCGAGGGGGUAACGGCUCACCAAGGCGACGACGGGUAGGGGGGUCUGAGAGGAUGAUCCCCCCCGAGUGGGACUGAGACACGGCCCACACACCUACGGGUGGACAGCAGUGAGGGAAUCUUCGCACAAUGGGGGCAAACCCUGACCUGCAGCGACGCCGCGUGCGGGAGGAUGACGGCCUCUCGGUCUGUAAAACUCCUUUUUCAUGGGGACAAGGACUAGUACGGGACGGUACCCAUGAGAAUAAGGACUCGGCUAACUACGUGCCAGCAGCCGCGGUAAGACGUAGGAGGUCCAAGCGUUUGUCCGGAUUUACUGGGCGUAAAGAGGCGCGUAGGCGGCUCGUCACGUGUGCAGUGUGAAAUCUCCCAGGGCUCAACCCUGGGAAGGGGCUGUCACGCAUACUGGCGCGGGCUUGAGGACUGCGGAGAGGGUAACUGGAAUUCCGGUGUGUAGCGGUGAAAUGCGUAGAUAUCCGGAGGAACACCCACUGGCGAAGGCAGCGUUCCUGGGCCCUUCCUCUGACGCUGCAGGCAGCGAAAAGCCGUGGGUAGCGAAACAGGAUUAGAUACCCUGGUAGUCCACGCCCUAAACGAUGGAUCCUAGCCCGGUAAGGUGGGGUAUCGACCCCCUCCUGUGUCCGCAGCUAACGCACUAAGUAUGACCGCCUGGGGAGUACGGCCGCAAGGUUGAAAACUCAAAUGAAUUGACGGGGGACCCGCACAAGCAGGCUGGAGCAUGUGGUAUUAAUUCGAUGCGACGCGAAGCACCUUACCUGGGCUUGACAUGCGGCUGCACCACCCGUAAUGGGGUGUCCUCUUCGGAGGCGGUCGCACAGGUGCUGCAUGGCUGUCGUCAGCUCGUGCCGUGAGGUGUUGGGUUAAGUCCCCUAACGAGGCGCAACCCCUGGGGUCCGUUACACUGAUCUGCCCAUCGUGGUGGGUUGGGGUGGGUCGGGCCCGACUGCCGCGCGCAACGCGGAGGAAGGCGGGGAUGACGUCAAGUCAGCACGGCCCUUACGUCCAGGGCGACACACACGCUACAAUGGCCGGUACAAUGGGUUGCCAAGCCGCGAGGCGGAGCCAAUCCCAGCAAAGCCGGUCUCAGUUCGGAUUGCAGGCUGCAACCCGCCUGCAUGAAGCUGGAGUUGCUAGUAACCGCGGGUCAGCACACCGCGGUGAAUACGUUCCCGGGCCUUGUACACACCGCCCGUCACACCAUGGGAGCCGGCAACACCUGAAGCCGGUGGGCCAACGGCGUGGGUAACGUCCCUGCCGAGGCAGCCGUCGAGGGUGGGGU
rnacentral:rRNA from 1 species